ACAACUGUGCCCUGGGCUCACCAGCGGGACCCCCAGGUCCUCCCCAGCACACCAUGGAGGCCCCUAAGGGCUGGGCCUUGGCCAGGCGACUGGGGAGGGGCUGGUCCCGGAAGAAAAGCUUUGUGGGGCCGUGGGUGCGGGGGCUUUCGGCUCAUCAGAAGCCACCAGCCCUUGAGACAAAACCUCCCAGACGCUGUGGGUCAGACCCACAGAGCCUCAGUCCUACCUGGUCCUGGGAGGGCGGAGGGCGGUGUGGGCCUGGUCCCAGGACGGCGGAGGGCAGUGUGGGCCAGGCGCGGACUCCCCCGGGCGCCCUCAUGGUCUUAUCUCUGCCCGGCCGGCGGAAGGCGGCGGGAACCUUUGCCUGGUACAACCACUACUGCUCCACAGCCCAGGAAUUUGGCAUUGAAUAAUUUUUAACUUCUGCUCUGAGAGAGGAGCUGGCCUUGGAUUUAGUGUCCGUGCAUGCAGGAAUGCCGGGGCUCCAUUUUCAAGGGACGGCGAGAAGGACACGCUCGGUUCCGCACUCUCAGGCUCCUGCUCCUCACAAGGCAAGCGCCUCCAGGGAGCUGCAUUUGGGAAAAUAUCCACCAAGCACUAAAGAAACACAACCAUAAAGAACCAUAAAGCAUCCACGCGGAAAAGCUUAUUCAGAUCAAUAAAGCUGCGGCGGGCCGGGCACAGUGGCUCACACCUGUCAUCCCAGCACUUUGGGAGGCCGAUGUGGGUGGAUCACGAGAUCAGGAGAUGGAGACCAGCCUGGCCAACAUGGUGAAACCCCGUCUCUACUAAAAUACAACAAAUUAGCUGGGCGUGGUGGCACGUGCCUGUAGUCCCAGCUACUCAGGAGGCUGAGGCAGAAGAAUUGCUUGAACCCAGGAGGCGUAGCUUGCAGUGAGCAGAGAUUGCACCACUGCACUCCAGCCUGGGUGACAGAGCGAGACUCCGUCUCAAAAAACAAAUAAAUACAUAAAAUAAAAGUAAUAAUAAUAAAAAAACUGCAGCGAGGGCCCAGCGUGCCCACCACUCAUCAACAAGUCAAAGCGCGAACCCUGUGGGUGCAGCAGCCGGACCUCGGGUGUGCUGGCUUUCCGACACCCAAACCAGCAAACCUCACACCCGCUGCUCGCGGAGGGCCGCUGAAGCCGCAGCGAGGUGAGCGAGACUCCCCACUGGGGACAGAGAAAGACCCCUCCUCCCCCAAGUCACAGAAAGACCCCGUCUCCCCCAAGGCAGAGAAAGACCCCGCCUCCCCCAUGGCAGAGAAAGACCCCGUCUCCCUCAUGGCAGAGAAAGACCCUGCCUCCUCCAUGGCAGAGAAAGACCCCGCCUCCCCCAAGGCAGAGAAAGACCCCGCCUCCCCCAAGGCGGGCGGAUCACCUGAGGUCAGGAGUUCGAGACCAGCCUAGCCAAAAUGGUGAAACCCCGUCUCUAUUAAAAAUACAAAAAUUAGCUGGAUGUGGUGGCGGGCGCCUGCAAUCCCAGCUACUCGGGAGGCCGAGGCAGGAGAAUUUCUUGAACCCAAGAAGCAGAGGUUGUAGUGAGCCGAGAUUGUGCCACUGCACUCCAGCCUGGACGACAAGAGCAAAACUCCAUCUCAAAAAAAAAAAAAAAACAGAGAGAAUUCCAGGGAGGAGGUCACCACGCCGGUGCCGCCCCGGGAGCAGCUCACACUGACUUCACAGACGCACAGGGAGGCCAUGGCGCAGGACAGGCAGACCGGCUGGCAGGCCAGCACUCCAGGCUGCUGAGGGGCCGCUGCUGCCAGCUGACGGGGAGGCCCUCGGCCCCCACCCCGCGGCCCCUGCCCUCCUCCGUCCCCCGUCCUUCCCGGGGGGUCCCUGACUGUGACGGACAGCAGUGUGUUUGGUGUCUCCUGUGCCUGCGGAGCGGUUCUGGAGUCUGUCUAUGGAGUCUGCUUGUUUGAAGGCUGCUGUGACUUUCUUAUAUUUAUCAGCAAAUUUUGGGGAUUUUUUUCCAGCGGGCGAAUGGCCCAGGGCUGGAAGCAGGGUCCGUGCUCCCCCGAGCUGCUCUCCUGGGCUUCUUGAGGGCUCAGCUCUCCGGAACGAGGUGGAUUGAGGAUGGGUCCCCUCCAAGUACACUCCACCCCAGGCCCAGCACGAAGGGUACAGAGGGCGAAAGUCUGGAUGGGAUACCCCAGCCUGGGAAUCUGUGCUUGCCUGGGACUCUCAGCAGGAGGUUGGAAGAGGACGGAGGACCCAGGACUCUUUCUGCACAGGGCCUGGGCCAUCCACUCUUUGCCCUGGGGUAACUUGAGGGCCUGUGGAGGAAACAUCUUUCCUGGAAUCCUGGCCUGAGAGGAUGCUAAGGGUUAACCCCUGAGGCUGACCCCAAGGGCGUCCAUUCCUGCAUAAAAGGCCCAGCUCAGCCAGCCCCAUCGGCCACCUCUGUCAGGGGAAGAGUGUAGCUCAGGUGAGGUGUCGGGCGGGCCCCUGCUGGCCUCAGAGUCCACCCCUGCAGGCCACACCUCGGCCGCGGCAGUCCCUUUGAAGGAGAGGAAGGCCUGGAGGAGAGGCCUCGAGGCAGACACACACCCUCCCCUGUCCCCGCCACGGUCCUCCGAGCUCCUCCAUGCCUGCUUCUGUGGUAGAGGCUCCUGUGGGGGCAGCUGUACUGGGCCCUGAGACCAAGCACUUCCCUGUGGGGUCAACAGGCCACCUCACUGUCUGAGUGCCACCCUGGGGCGUCUUUCUGGGCCACAGCCCCGGGAGCCGGGAGCUCCUCCAGCACCAUGGCCUUCCCUAUCCUCUCAUCAGAACAGAGAGAGCAGGCACGGGGGCCGUCUUGUACCACGCAGACCAGGCUCCAGCAGCCGGGGCUCCCACCGCCCCUGAACCGAUCUGGGGACUCACGGUCAGAGGCCCCCCUUUCCCCACAUCCCUCCUGCCUCCCCCAGGCGGACAGACCCCUCGGCCUCCACAGCCGCUCAGCGGCUGCCCUGGGGAAAGCCUUCCAUGGCCUUCGUCCUGGUGAGCCCUUAUUUGUCAAAUAAAUAUUUGCCCAGGGUGGGGCUUGCCACUCAGGGUCAGGCAUUAAAUGAGCCUAAAGUCCGCGGAGCCUGCAGCAGUGCCGUGGCCCAGGCCAGCAGCAAGUGAGGGGGAGGCUGGACCAGGGGUCUCUGCCUGACCUGGAUGCAUCUUCCAGCGCUGAGCUCCUGACUCACAGAGACUCUGCAAGGCCAAGGGGUUCUUGGGGUCUGGAGAACGUGGAGACCCCGGAGCUGAUGCGAGGCAGCCUCUCCCUGGGUGGGGCAGUGGGUGGCGAAGGGCCCCACCCUCAGCCUGCGAAGCUCCUUCCAAAGAGAACCUGCAGUGCCUGCCCUGCCUGUGCCCACAGGGCUGCAGUUUCCAAUAGAACAGAGGCUGAGGGAACCCGGGAAUGUGAGGUCUCAGAGGCAGCAACCCCACGCAUGUGGCAGCCCCAAGCAGUGAGCGGACUGGGUGCAGGAGGAGGCCCCAACCACGCCCAGAAUUCACGUGGCUUCCUGCAUGAGUUAGCUGCUGCCGUGUAACAAGUGACCCCACAUGCAGUGGCUGGAACAUGCACGUUUACCACGUCUGCUUCCAGAGCUCAGAAACUCAGAGCUGUGGACGUAGCAGGAAGCACAAUUGCGAAGUGGACAGGGUGGUGGUUUCUCAGAGCUCAACUGCAGGGCAUGUGUGUGCAUAGGUGUGUGCCCAGGUGUGUGUCCAGGUGUGUGUGCAGGUGUGUGCCCAGGCGUGUGUGCAUAGGUGGGUGCCCAAGUGUGUGUGCAGGUGUGUGCUCAGGUGUGUAUGCAGUGGUGUGCGCAGGUGUGUGCACAGGUGUGUGUUCUCAGGUGUGUAUGCAGUGGUGUGCGCAGGUGUGUGCACAGGUGUGUGGCGUGUGUGCAGGUGUGUGCGCGCAGGAGUGUGCACAGGUGUGUGCUCAGGUGUGUGUGGCAUGUGCGCAGGUGUGUGCAGGAGUGUGUGCAGGUGUGUGCGCAGGUGUGUGCAGGUGUGUGCCCAGGUGUGUGCUCAAGUGUAUGUAGAGUGUGCGCAGGAGUGUGUGCAGGUGUGUGCUCAGGUGUGUGCUCAAGUGUUUGCAGAUACGUGCUGAGGUGUGUGCGCAGGUGUGUGCUCAGGUGUGUGCAGAUGUGUGCUCAGGUGUAUGUGCAGGUGUGUGUGGUGUGCACAGGUGUGUGCAUGGGGGUGUGGGUGGGGUGUGCUCAGGUGUGUGUGUAGGUGUGUGCACAGGUGAGUGCAGAUGUGUGCUCAGGUGUGCGCAGGUGUGUUUUCAGGUGUGUGUGCAGGUGUGCUCAGGUUUGUGCACGGGUGUGUGGCGUGUGCACAGGUGUGUGUGCACAGGUGUGUGUGCAGGUGUGUGCACUGUGUGUGCAGGAGUGUGCGCAGGUGUGUGUGGCGUGUGCGCAGGUGUGCGUGCAGGUGUGUGCUCAAGUGUGUGCUGCAUGAGCUUCCGUACUUGCUCCUGGGCUUCUCACUGGCCAGGGCUGGUGUCCAGGGCGAGCCAUCCCAGGCAGAGCACACAGGACGCAGCGUUUACAGCCCCAUCUGGAGAGCACCACCUUCACUUCUGCCUUUGUCCACAAGGGAGGGGCUUGCAUGGGGGAAGAGUAAGCGCUGCCUACCCGGGGCCCUGGAUGUAGAACGGCCUGCAGCCAGGACUCCCGUCCGGUGUGUUUGGUGUUGCUGUUUUCCUGGAAGCCUCUGCGUCCCAUCUGCGGGUUUGCUGGUACUGGUGGCUGACCGGUUAAUGGUAUGAAGUAGAGCAGUUUUGAGAAGCUCUGCAUUUUGUUUUAGCUUCAUGCAGGCACACACGACCCUGCGGGGCCAGGAGAGCAACUGCGGAGAAGGCUGUGCCCUGAGGCGGCAGAGCUGAGGCCAACAGCAACCGCAGAAGUGUGGGGCUUGUCCUCGUGCUGCUCCUCAGUGUUCCUCUUCAUUUUCACAGACACAGCUCCGUGCUUUGCACGUAUUUCACCAUCUGUGUCAUAUGUAAUUAAACUGCAUCCUUGCACGGCCAAA